UUUUUUUUUUUUUUAAUACUGAUUAAUCAUCAGAUUACUGCAUUACACAGAUAUUUACAACAACUGCUUAUUGUAGCAGAGAUAUUACACUGAUAUUUACAAUCAGAUAUACAUGAUUGGGACUUACAUUAUUACAAUGAAUUCUAUGAAGUACAUGCCCAGACAAAUAACCCCUCACAGGAGAGGGAUGUCCAUACUCCACUUGCAUUUUGCAAGGGAGAAGGAUUUUUUAAAUAUAAAGAACAUUUAGCCCCCACAAAAGCUUUGUAGGGGCUAGAACCGCUGCCCUCACAAGUAUUGUGUUGUGAGGGCAGCAGCCCACCACUUCGGCCAAGGCCGAAGCGGCGCACUCUGUUAAAAUAGUUGAGUGGUAAACUGCAACUCUCACAAGUUACCAUUGUGAGAGCUGCGAUUUAAGUUCUUAUAGCAGAUUUCUAUUUCUUCUUCUAAUUAAAAAUUGGGUUUAAAAAUUGGGUAUAUAUUAGAAUCUCUCCUGUUAAUUAAAUGCAGAACAGAUGUCUAAGAGCUGUAAUUUAAGUCACCAGAAAAGACUUCUAUUCCCAAUUAAAAAUUGAGUAAAAAUAAGUUUCUAUUCUAUUAAAUGGUGAGUAUUGAGUAGAGCAGAUGGGAAAUUUGUAACCUACCCCCAAAUAAAUUGACAUUUUGCACCACGCCCCCAAUUCCAUUAUUUUAUCAGUUAAGUUUAACGGUGGAGGGGUAAAAUUGAAAGUUUAUUUCUUAAAUUAAUUUUAAUGGGAAUUCUCUUUAUUGUAAUUAAAAUAAAAAUCUUUAAAAAAUUAAAGAAAAAAUAAUAGUGGUGACAAUGAACAUGUAAGAAGAAUUGUUUUUUUUAUUGCAAUUGAAAAAAAAACCUUAAAAAAUUAAAUGAGCUAAAAAUUUUGUUUUUUUACAUAGAGGGGCAUUUUUGUCAUUCAAUCAAAAGUUAAACGGAGCCGUUAAACUUAACUAAGAAAAUAACGGAAUUGGGGGCGUGGUGCAAAAAUGUCAAUUUUUUUGGGUGCGCAGUGCAACAAGUCAAAUUUGUUGGGGACGCGGUGCAAAAUGUCAAUUUAUUUGGGGGUAGGUUACAAAUUUUCCUAGAGCAGAUAUUCAAUAUAUGAUGUAAAUAUUAGUACGUAUUAAUAAUUUUAGAGAAAAUGUUAUUUUUAAGUUUAAUAAAUAAAAAAACAUGCGCGAUACAUGGUGUUAUUGAUUAAGCAAAUGAUCACUUAGGCUUUAGGAAUAAAAUUUGAUGCUUUGAACUUUCAAAAUCUCAACUUUGUUCAUUACAUAUGACUUUUUAUCAUUCAUGAGCUUGUAGAGGUAUUAUAAACAAUUAUAAUAAGUAAUAAGCUUACAUGGGGGCAAUAUAAAGUUUGCAUUCAAAUUGAUGAUGUGGUAGAUGAUAUGAUUUUAUUUCGUGAGGUCAUUUGAUAAUGGAUUAUUAACUCGGAGUUUGGCAGUUUUCUGCUUAUUUAAAUCAAUAUAUAUAACUUGUUUUCAACUAUAUGUAUAGUAUUCAAAGAUAUGUGAGCACAAACAUUUAAGCGAAAAUAGAUAUAAAUGAGUUAUUUAUUUGAUAUUUUAUCUUAAAAUAUUAAAUAAUGGUUAUUAGAAUUUUUUUUUCAAAAUUAACAAAAAGUAUAAAAAAAUAUCUUAUUAUUAAUUUUUUAUUCAUACUGAAACUUAUAUUUGUUAUUUUUAGUAUUUAAAUCUUUUAUUCUAUUUUCAAUUUAUAUGAUUUAUUCAGUUUAUAGUUAAAUCAAUAAAGUGUACUUGAAAAUAAGGAUUAUAUUGUAAAAUUAUGGUACCAGUGAGUCAUUAGGUAUUAUGAAAAUAAUAGGGAGUAAGUGAUAGAUAUUGAUUUCAGUGUAAGAAAAUUGACAAUUUUCCUUAUUAAUUCUUAUCAAUUAUUAUCUGAAUAGUGAAUUUGUAUUUACUAUCAUAUUAAUUCAAAAUCAAAUUUUAUAUUCUAACUUUAUAAAUAUAUUUAUAUUUUUACCCUUUAAAAUUGUUUUGAACGCUCAUUAAAAAAAAUUAUUGCCUAAUUGGCUUUCAAGGAAAUUACUUAGAUGGCCAUAACAAAUGAAUGAACAAUCUCUUUAUUUUCCGUCAAGUGGUCAGCUCUUGUACAUACUGCAUGGACUUGAGAAGGUGACAAAUUGACCACACACCGACAUUAUUUUAGGCAUUGUUGCAUAGGCCACGUCAAAGCCGUUGAAUUUGAAGCGCACAAAUCCAAAGGCCCAAAAAUAGCCACGUGAUGCUAGUUAAUGGAGAAAGUGACAGAAUCGACCGUAAAUAAAAGAGCAAAUUGGCAAAGGAAACACCGUGAGGUUAAGAGAGACAGCCAGAACAGUUGAGGAAACUACUUCUGCAGUACUGUAAGCGGAAAAAAAAGAAAAAAAAAAAGACGUACGAAUCAAGCAUUUUAUCUAUUGAUAUCGCAGAGCCUUGCAACAAACGUUGCAGAAAUUGGAUUAAUAAAAAUCAAACUUUAAGAUCUAUGAUCCUAUGCUCCAAUAAUAAUAAUAAUAAGGGUUAUUAUUAUUUUAUUACUUUAAAAAUUAUCAAAUAUCAAAUAACUACAACAAAUAUUAUUUCCUAUUAUUUUCUUACUAUAUCUUUAUAAAAAUAGCAUUUUACUACUUUUCUGUUAUAAUCUUGACAAACAAAAUACUAAUUUCACUCUUCAUGAUUAAAAAAAAAAUACUUAAAGCUUAUUUACAAAAUAAAUUUGUAAUAUAUUUAUUAAAAUGGAUAUAAAACACCAACAUAAUUAUUUUAACUGGAAUUAUGAUAUAUGGAUUAAAAAUUUAUCUUAUUAUUUUUUUAAUCAUGAAGGGUAAAAUUGAUAUUUUAUUAGUCAACUAACGGGUCAACUAACGGUUGUAAUGAAAAAGUAGUAAAAUGAUAUUUUUAUAAAAAUAUAAUAGGAAGAUGAUAGAAGACAACACUUGUUGUAGUCAUUUGAUAUUUGGUAAUUUUUGAAACAGUGAAAUGAUAAUAACUCUAAUAAUAAUAAUAAAGAUAUAUGAUUGACCGACUAAGACCGUAACCCCCUUCAAUAAUGUAUUUACUCUUUUCAUCCAUGCUCGUUAAAUUAGAUUGUUUCAAAUCUAACGGCUCAUCCAAAAAUGAAAAAAAAAUACAAGUUAAAUACAAGGUGUUUUUUUUCCCCCAAAUAGAUUCUCAUUAUUGCAAGACAAAAUUUCAAAAUAAACAAGUUAAAUGUUGUAGAAAAUCUUCACCUGUAUAAGAUAAUAAUAAUACCUAAAUGUGAUUUUUAACCAAAGCAUCAACUGCUCUAUUAUAAUUUUUAGAAACAUGGUCAAUCUUGAAAUCUUACUAAAUUAACAGUAGAUACUUCUUAUAAUUAUUCAAAAUAGCUUAAUACAAAUACAAUGAAUACGAGGUUAUUUGUCCUUGUUACUAGAUAGUGAAGCCUUUGAUGCAUAAUAAAAUGUUAAAAAAUAUGAAUUAACAUAAUAAGAUCAAAGACAAGAACUAUAUAUGCAUUUGUACUAUUAAACAAUUUUAUUUGCUAAAGUUUGUGUACUUGUUAAGACCUUGAAGGAUUUUAUAAAAAUAUUUAAUUGGAAAAUGUAUGUUUCCCUUUCACUUUUUGAGGAAAACAAUUUUUUUUUCUUUUUUAAUUGAAGGAAAGAAAAAUCAAGUCUAAACGCAGUAUUACACUCUUUAGAAACAUACAUUUUCCAAUUAGAAACAUACUCUUUAGAAACAUGGCCAAUCUUGAAAUCUUGCUUCAAUAACAGUAGAUGCUUCUCAUAACUAUCCAGAAUAGCUCAGUACAAAUACUAUGAAUAUAAGGUUAUUUGCCCUUUAUAUUAGAUAGUCGGGCCGUUGCUGCAUAAUAAAGUGUUAAAAUAUAAAUUAACAUAAUAAGAUCAAAGACAAGAAGUAUAUUUGCAUUUGUAACAUUAAACAAUUUUAUGUAGUUAUUUAUUUUUUAACUUCGAUCUUAUACGCAAUUAAUUUGCAAAGUUUGUGUAUUUGUUAAGGGAUUUUAUAAAAAAAUGUCUCGUUGAAAGAUGCAUGCACCCCUUUCAAUUUUUGAGGAAAACAAUUUUUUUUUAAUUGAAGGAAAUUUUUUUUAAUACAAUAAAAGUCCAAACAUAUUAUACUCUCACAACUACAUGAGAAUACUCAAACUCUCCACUUUAAUAUUAAGGAGAAGAGUGAUUGACCAAUAUUACCAAGGGAUCAUUACCAAUAAAAUAAAAAAUUACAGACCCUAAAAUGUAACUUUAAAGAAUAAUAAUAGAGUUAUAAAUUCUUAUAUAAGUAAUUUUUAUACAAAUUGAUAUGGUAUAAUAUCAUUGGUUGAGUAAAUAUAUAAUAUAAUAAAGAUAAAUCAUGUGGACAAUGUGUUGGUUUCAUUCAACCAACUAUGUUACAAAAUUAAUAUAAAAAUUUAUAGAUGUAUCAUUACUCUAUUUUAAGCGAACACAUUAAAAAAUCAAAAGCAACUUUGAGAUCAUAUCACUAAAAUGGUCCGAUUAAUAAAAAUGUAUAUACCACCAAAAAUGACCAUUAAAAAUUAAAGCAACUAUAUUACCUAUAAAAAUGACAAAAUUAUUAUAAAUGACCACCGUGAAUAAUGACUGCGUCAUUAAAAAUAAAAUAAGUUAAGAGAACAUUAGAACACGUGCAGGUCAUUUUAUUAUUGUUGUUUAAAUGUUAUUUAUCGCGAUAAAAUACCAAAAUUGCCCUUAUACCUAUCGCUAGAUUCACAGGUCUGGUUAAAAUUAAACCAUGGUUAGUUCACUCACGUGAUUAACUAACCCUACUGUUACUGCGAUGCUCUAAUAAUGAGCGCCCCCACACCGGCUUGAAAAAAAAAAAUUCAACAAUAAACUAAUAAUAAAAACAUAACCGUGGUUUGAUCAGUCACGUGAUUAACUAACCUUAUUGAAUGUAACUCAAUACUCUCUAAUAAUAAGCGCCACCACACCGGCGUUAAAAACAAAAAAAAUUGCAACAAUAAAAUAAUAGAAAACAUAUCAGAAUAAAUAAUGAUAUAAUUCAACAAAAAUUCAACGUCGUUAAAGAUUCCGUUAGAUUGAUGAAGUCCGUGAGGUGAUAAAAAUUUGCCACGGGCGCAUGCUAACUUGAUGAUAGACGGGUGUCGACGGUUCAAAGGAGGAGUAAUCAGGACCGUUUGAUUGAUGAUUGAUGGUCACGAAUGCUCGGUGUGGAACCGAGAGUAUGAAAGAGGGGUAUAAAACUGGUUUUAAAAGGGAGAGAGAAUUUCGUUUAUCAGAAGAAGGAAGGAGAGCACUUUGUGUUGUUUGUUCUCUCUCUGGUUUCUCUGCGAAUUUUCAUUCACUUUCUUUCGUUUUCUCAGAAGCCAAACAGACUACUUUGGCUGAGAAUUGACGAGAAUAUGAUAACGGAAUGUUGAGAAUCUGAAUCCAAUAGAGAGAUAGAGGAGAUUUAGAGGUGUGUAUUACCAACACACUUUUGUUUUUCAUUAUUAAGAAGAUCAAUUUAAAAAAAUUGGCCGGUAUAAUUGUUGUUUGGUUCAUGCUUUAGUUUACAGACAAAUUCAAAAUGACAAAAGACGACAUGGUUCAGUUGGCUUAGUGUUAAUUCCGUAUAAUUCAUCCUCUGAUAUAAUCAUUUUAUUUGUUUUGCAGAUACAUUUCUUAAGAGAAUAGAGAAAUUUCUGUAAGGGGAAGAUCAUAAUCUCUCAUUAGAGCAGGAGAUUUUCAAGUCUUUGAAAUGCCAAUCAUUUCGCUGAGAAGCUGAUAUACAUUCGAUUUGUAUUCUGCCGACUGAAAGAAGCAAAAAAUCGGCGAAUUUGAGAUAUUGGAGGUAUAAAAAACAAGCAUAUCGAUUUUCAUCUCGUCGAUUUAACUCGGGACCGGUUCUCUUUCAUUUCAGUUUUGAAUCGGUUUCCACUUGCUUCUUAUUACGAAGCUUAUACUUAAGUUCGACUCCGAUUCUCGUUUUUUCAGCUGUUUGGCUCUGGCGAGAAUUCAUCAUUAGCGUCUACAAGAAAUUUCAGUUCCAUGAAAAUCUUGACUUGUUAUUGAUGAAAUAUUUUUUUCGUUUUGAUUUUUGUUCUUUUGACCAUCUCUCAGUCUCGUCUUAUUCGAGCUUUAAAAUUUUUGUCAGUCUCGUCUUAUUUUGAGUUUUAGCUGUGGUUGCUUCUCAGAUUUUUCUCAAAUUACCUACGUUUGGUUACUGAGAAAGAAAGCAGAGAGAAAAAUAACAUCUCAGAACUUCUUUCCAUUCUCGAAUUGAUCUCUAGAACCAACGAAUUGGUUCUGAUUGUUGCAAUUCACGAUCCUUCUUUAUUUUCUUUUUCGAACAUUUUCUCGGCAGCCGAGCAAAAGCAUGGAGCUUGAGAAAUUUUUUCUCCGCUUUCUAUGCGUAUUCUUCGUCAGAUCCUCUGGAGUGAGUACGUCUGUGAUCUAUUUUUGAAUUAAAAUUCUCAUUUUCACUGCUGAUGACUAUUACAGCAUCACUCGGUAGAGAAUUCUGCAUUUUUUCAUUUUGAAAAAUCCUUGGCUGUCGGAUCUUCCUCUUCCAGUCUUCGGUCUUCCUCAGUAUUCAAUAUUUUUGUUGCAUUUUAAUAUAUGUGAUUCUUAUGGUAAGCCUACUUUUCUUCUCAAAAUUUGGGAAAAUUCUUAGCCGUUACUCUAAAAUUUUAAUUUUAAUCAUUCGUUUUAAAUGGCGUGGAAGUUGCCGGAAAGCCGAAGCCGUAUCCAAAUUGUUCAUUUUGUUUUUCUUUUUUAGUAUAAUUCUGCAAGUUAACCGUAAUUUAGGAUGAGUAAUUGUAAUUAACUUAUCUGAAUGGGACAGGUUUGCGAAAGGAGAUGGAUAAGGACUUGUUGAGAAGCGGUAAUAAUGGGAGCACUUGCAAAGAUGGGGGAUUAUUAAGAGCUAGCUCAGAGAUCAACACUAGGCAAACGGCGUCGUCUGAUUUCGUCUUACAGUGGGGGAACAGGAAGCGACUCCGGUGCAUGAAAGUUCAAGUCAAAGACGAUUCGUCCGCUUCGGCCCAUCGGACGACGGUUCGAGUCGUAAGAACCGACAAAGACACGUCCAAUCAGCCGAGUACUGCCACCGCUAACCAUAAUAUUGGUAACGGUUAUUUUAAUCUCCGUCGACGGCCAUCUUCGCCUCCGCCACCGCCACCGCCACCUCAGCGUGUGCUCAGGUAAUAACUCGGUAUCAUCGUUUGUUUGAUUUUAUGUUUGAAUAAAAACAGAGAUUUGUAUGCUUAUUCUUACGGCGCGUAUUAAACACUGUCGGCUGAGAUGGUGGAUCUUGUUUUUAGCUGUGGGGUUGUUCGCACUGAGGGCCUGAGCCUGAACCUUCGCUGGUGUUUGCGAGGCAACUGUAGUGUUGUGUGUAUGACGUUUAGAUAAUUGAAUGGGUUGCGCGUGGGCCCGUGACGCGCUUUGUGUCCGUGUUCGCAGUUUAGUGUUAGCUCCUUUAUUGUUCGAUUUCUAUAAUCCACAUUGGCGCGGAAAAAGAUUUCGAUCUGCUCUCUUUGAUGGGUCCCUUUUUACCCUUUAUCUUUAAUUAAUGGUUUUCUGCCGCAAGAAAUAUGUUUUACCGUGGUGAAUUAUAUUUUCUUCUUCAAUUGAAUUGGUGUUUAUGUUAAAUUAAUGUUGAAGAAAGAUAGUUGCCCUUUUCAGUAAUAGCAUGAAUUUGGAUCACCUUUAGUCAUUAGUCGCUGUUGGUACACGGUCACUGUCGACAUAAUUAGUUUGUGUAAUAUCAGUAAGCCCGGAGUCAUUCUGCAUUUCUGCUGAUAUUAUUAUUAUAUUUUAAAUUCCAAUUGCAGCCUUUAUGCUUGUUUUAUAAAAUUGGAAAUAAUUAGUUCAUAGUCUGGGAUAGUAUGUCCCUUGGUAUUGUACUAUGGUUUGAUACAUUUGUCUAUUUCUGGUAGUGGAGUGGACUGUUCCAGGAAUAGAUAAUAUCAUAUGAAUACUAAGCUGGCGUCUGAAUCUUGAUGCCUAAUAACAUUUCAGCAUCAAAUUAUUUUGCUUUUGCUGAAGUGGAGGUUAGUUGGAUCUACUUGUUCAUUACAAGAUGAACUUUUAAACUUCCAAAAUUGGGGCUGAGUACUUACUUAUGAGGCUUAUACUUGUCCAUUCACUAAUUGGUCAGGUUGGUGCAAAUCAGAACUCAGGAGAGCUGAUGCCUGAUGGUGAGUUCAUAAGGUCAGGGUGUCCUUAUAUUUACUAUUGCUUUAGUUUCUAGGAUUUGAGUCUUGCUAAAGUGGGUUGCCCAUGUCAUUUCACGAUCCUUAGAAUCUAAUAGUCGCGUUUGAAGUGUGUGAUCUAUAGAUAAUGCACUUGAGAUUUGGGGAUAGUUUCACUUAUUUAUAAAUUUGAUUAGUUUCUAGACUUUAGCAUAUAAUUGGUGAAGUUUUAGAUGGUGCAUUCUCCCAAUAUUACAUUUACUGAUUUACAUUCUUAAUUGGGAAAUUGGCUGUAAUCUUUGCUUUGUUAUUUGACUGAUCUGCGGCUGCUAAUUGUAGUUUUAUAUGGGGUUAUAUUUUUAUUGUUCUCGUUAUAAAUUGACAUUCUUUAGAACGUUUUUUUAUUUUUUAAAAUCUCAAAUUGCUUCUUUUGCAGAAGAUAAAAAUAAACUGAUCAACUCACAUUUUUCCUUUAUUUUUUGAAUAAAAAUGAGGGUAAUUUGAGAUUUUGAAAAGUGAUGAUUUGAAGAUAGUUAAGUCUCACAAUUUAUGUUUUAUUCUUUUCUUUUUCUAUAUUGCAAUCUUAUUGGACUGAUUUUGUUCAAAGUUGUGCAAAAGAAGAUUAGGUUGAUUAGCAUUCCUAAUCAAACUACUCUUCUUACUCAAUUGUGCUACUCUUGACCUUUUGCAUUUGCCUAGAGGGUAGCCAACUUGUCUUGAGUUCAUCACGCCUGAUUUUAGCCCAUAACGCUGCCAAAGCGUCCUCACAUGGUGGACUCGUUGGAACUUGGAACUAGGAAACAUGGAAUUAGUAAGUUCCUGCCACGCGUCCAAUGAUGCCCAAGUCUAAUCUCAACAAAAUUUCCGCCGUCGAUUGUAAUUGUAUUAGGAAUCUGGUCCACUCUAUCCUACAUGCCAACCCAUCCAUCAACACGUAGCCCAUACCUUAGAAAAGGAAAAUGAAUCCAACGGCCUACAAACCGCCCAUAGGACCAGCUGUGCUCGUUAGAUCGAGAUUAGAAUCAAAACUAUUUUUCUCAUGGCAGCCAAGUUAGCAAAUAUCAACACUUCCUAUUUGUUUAAAAAGCGCAAUCCAAAGUCUCUCCAAAGAAGCCAAAAGAAAAAAAGAACUCACCGUAUAUGACUUUCUUCUCAAAUUUAGCCCGACUUUACUUGAUCACUCCCAAGGUUAUUUUCGUACUUGCAUAAAAAUUCACUUCAGCACAUCACUUUUUUCACUUUUUCCUUAACACUCUACUUGACUGUAUUAAAUUUCAUUUUUAUUUCACAUGUUAUGUCCAGUUAAUUGAUGUGUUGUUAUGUGUGUAUUGUUUGUUAGGAAUUCUGAGAAUUCAAGUGCCAUGAGAGGCCAAAGCAACGGUGGUGUGAGAGGUUUUGCUUCACCAGAUAGGGGUGCGCACGAUAAGAGAGGUACCCGUCACAACAAUCACAACCACCACAACAAUGAUUAUAACAAAUCAGGGGCAUCAUCGGAAACAGCUCAUGAUAGCAAGAAAGGUGGAUCCUCUUCCGCUAGUGGCGAGGCGGCGCCACCCGUGUGGCCCCCGAAAUUUGUGAUUGCUUUAACCAACAAAGAGAAAGAGGAAGAUUUCAUGGCCAUUAAAGGGUCUAAGCUGCCACAGAGACCCAAAAAGAGAGCAAAGUUUAUUCAACGCACAGUCAAUGUAAGCUUUUCUUAUUCUUUCCUUGUUUAAUCCUUCAUGAUAUCUAGACUUAUCUACGAUGUUGUUUUAGUUAUUUUAGAAUUUAGAUUUAACGAAUUUGAUUCUAGUUGCAAUUUAAUUAUCGUGAAUAAUCAUCUGUAGGAAUAUUUUAUUGGGGUACAACAUUUAGGAGCACAAGGUACAAUAGAUCUCUUGCGGCCUUUUGAUGAUAUUUUGGGAUGGGACACGGUUUUUAAGAAUGUAGCUGUUACUACAAAUAUGGUUGCUGGGUCGGACCCUGAUUUAUGUGAAACUAUGAUCUACUUUAUUAUUAUUUUUUUAUUAGUCUUCAAUUUUUGUUUUCGCUUAAAAAUAGGGCUGUGUGUAAAGUGACCAGUGAGAUAUACAUGUCCACGUGUCGGUAAAGGCGUGGACGUGUACCUAAAAAUGACCUGUAGUAACGUUAGCCUCCCAGUGACCGAGUCCUGGUUUGGGUGCGGGAUGUAGAAUAAAUUAACAAAAAUCUGGGGUGGGAAUAUUACCCUUGCCCGAGUUUUGUGCUUUGAUAAUCAAAUUUCUCUUGAUUUAGUCGGAAAAUUCCAUUAAAGUAAUGGUACAUAUUUUAAAUCUUUUGUUUUUAAAAAUUAUUCUAAAUAAUGUGGCAUUCCGUAAUGCAGUAAUUCAUACUUUACUUCGUGGGGGAGAUAAUUGAAUAACAAGAGACAAUUGAGUUGUCAUUAAGUUUUUUCUGUUUUUGAUUUUUUUUAUGUUUAUGUUCCAAUUUAUCAAAAUCAAAUAUUCUUACGACCAAUAAGAGUUACUUAAGUCAAGAUUUUACCGUAAGAGAUUAUCACGGUAAUACCGCAAUUUUGAAUUUAUUUUACUUUUCUUGGCUACGGGGAGUUCUUUUUUUUUUUUUUUAAAGAAAGCGUUGAAAAUGUUGGAUAUGUGGAAAUGAGUAAUAAUAGAGUUAUAAUUACCUUCUAUAAGUAAGUGUAUAUAAAUCGAAGUGACGUGACGGAAUUAGUUAUAUAAAAUUAUUAUGGGUUUAUAUAAUUAAAAAUUAAUUAUUAUUAUUAUUAUUUUUAGCUAAUUUUUAUCCGUCAUUAAUUUGUAUAAAUUAUAAAAUCAUUCGUGGGUUUAUCAUUUUACAAGAAUAUGAGGGGGUAACAGAAGGAUAAUUUUUAAAAACGUUUGAGCUUGUUGCAAGUAGAUGGCGAGAAUUAGUUUAUUUGUAAAAAAUCUCCUACCGUCAAUUAAUUUUAAUAUUGACCGUUAGUUGACUGUGCAAAGACAAUAUUAUCCUUAACAAUAGUUUGUAGACGGAAAUAACUAAAAAAAAAUUAAAAUUAUUGGUUAUUUUACACUCUUUAAAUUAUUGAUAUUUUUUUAAAGUUUCUACAAAAAAGAUAAAAUUAAAAACUUGAAAAAUUUUCUUUAAAUUAUUGAUAUUUUCUUAAAGUUCCUACAAGAAAGAUAAAAUUAAAAACUUGAAAAUGAAAUAGUCAUAAUCUUUACUUAUGAUAUUAUAAAUCUUUGGAAUUGACAAGGAUAAUAUUGUUAAAAAUAGGGUUUGUGCUUUUCGCGCCAAUAAUUUUAAUUUUUUUUUUAGUUAUGUCAGUCUAAAAACUAUUGUUAAGGGUAAUAUUAUCUUUGUACAGUCAACUAACGGUCAAUGUUAAAAUUAACUGACAGUAGGAGAUUUUUUACAAAUAAAUGAAUUUUUGUCAUCUACUUACAACAAAUUUAAACCUCAAGGAAAGUUUUUAAAAAUUAUCCGGUAACAGAAUGCCUUAAACGUGGUACGUGGGGUCAACAAGGACGUGGUAGUACAGAGCUGGAAACUGUAUUUUUCUCUUGGUUUUAACUUUUAAACAUUAUGAGUGUCUCAGAUUGAGAUGGAGGGAUCAAUCUGCAACACGUGUACGAUGGCGAUUCAAUAGACAACACAAACUUAUCAACGAAGUAAGGUCCAAAUACUCACCAAAGGUAAUAAUAUUCUUCGUAAAAGUUUAACCGACGGAAGCGGAUGGGCCCUUUGCCCAUUAUUGUGGGGCAUUUCCGUAAUAUGGACAUUGCUUUUUGGUGAAUUAACUUUUCUUGUCUCUAAUAGUUUUUAAUGAUUAAUUUUCUCUUUAUUGAAAUAAUAUUUAAGAAUAAUUUAUAAUAAACAAUGGAGGUGGUUUCGUGACUCUUGUAGUGGUCCUCCAGGCUGGACCACACUGACAGUGCGUGGAGAGCAAAGAUUGCACGUAGUUUUUCGUCCAUAACUUUCUUAAACGCACGACUUGUAGACGAUUCUUUUUGCAAGUAGUUUUUUUCUUUUUGAGGUUGCAAGUAUCUUCUUGCUUAUGGUGGAAUUAUUUUUUUUUACAAAUUAAUUGAAAUCAUAACUGUUUUAAAAAAGCACAGGAAUCUCUCUUUAUUGCAUCCCAAUCAAAAUCAAAAUCUGAAAUUAAAGGCCAAAGUUGCAUUGAGUUUAUGUUUUUCUUUGCAGCUGGUAAGUCCCGGUGCAUGGCUAUGUGACCUGACCCUUGAACGUUAUGAAGUUAGAGAGAAGAAAAUCUCCAAGAAGGUACUUUUUGUAUUACAACUCCCCAAUUGGAGAAGCAUUUACAUUAAAAAUUAAUGGAGCAUAAUGUUUGUAUCGGGGAUCUAAUCUGAUGCAGAGACCGAGAGGAUUGAAGGCUAUGGGUAACAUGGACUCAGACUCAGAGUAGAGGAAGAGGAAGAUGAAUAGCUGUUGAUAGCUGUUGUUUUUUGUUUGUUGAGAAUAUGACAAAAUGUUGCUACCCUGUAAAUCGUUACCUUUCGUCCCUCCCUCUGAGAUGAAUGAAAGGAUAAAAUUUUAGCCAUAUCUUCUCUCUUCUCUCUUCUCUCUUUCUCUCUUCUCUCUUCUCUCUCUCGGUUAUUUUAUUAUUAUUAUUAUUAUAGAGGCAUCAGGCAUCAACACCUGUUUUUGUUUUGCUUAUAUUUUUCUUUUGUUUCAGCUUUAUUUAGGUGCUGGUUGACUGAGCUGGUCACGCUUUAGGCCCAGUAGUGGGCUACGUCCAUUUUGCUGGUUAACAAGUUAAAAGCUACUUUACCAACUUGGUAUAACCUGUCUAAAGUGGGAGUGACGAAUGUGCCACUAGCUUUGCUUAUAGACAAAGCAAGGCUAUUUUCGCACAUUACAAGAUGGUUGAGCUGAAGUUCAUGAAUAAGCUCAUUGGCUACUGGACAAAUAUGGAGUACUAAUAUAAAUUAUUUCUGCACAUUUUAUUGUGCAAAUUAAUACGAAGAGACCUACAUCAAUUAUUUUUUAAGUUAAAAAAUAAUCAAUUGCACAAAGCGUGCAACAAUAAUAUAAAGGGUUUCGAUUAUGUUGGAGUUUACUUACAGUGGUGUGUGAACUUCAGUCAUACAAUAAUAUAUAAGAGUUUGAUUAUGUUGGAGUUCACUUACGGUAGAGCGCGAAUCUCAAUCAUACAAGGAAAGUGAUGAAUAAUAAAAAAUGAGUUAUUUUUUUAUUAUUUAUUAUUUUACGUGUAAUUAAAAUUCGUAUUUUACCGUAGGUGAAUUCCAACAUAUCAAUAACCUAAUAUAAAAUGUCAUCUCAAACUGUAUUAAUGGAAUAAUUAGUGCUUGUUAAAGAGUUUAUAUUUCUAGAAUUUUUGAUUUAGUAUAUAAUUAUGUAGGGCAAAGCAAACGGGAAUCAACAAUUACGUGGUAGGGUCCACAAACCAACUAUAAUAUUCGUACAAGCUAAGCAAAUGUUGGGGAACUCCAGGUGGGGGGUUGGGUGGGGGCGAAUGAAAAGGGAGAACAACCUCAGCUCACCGGUCAAAUAAUACGUUGCAAAUCACGCUUAGCCAUUGAUUACAAAAGGAUGGUUGGGCCGAAUGAGUCAAUUUCGCAAAGACUGCCUUGUCCAACAUAAACUUUUCGAAAAUCAUCAUUCUGGCGACUUCUUCCAAGGCAUCGCCAAGUGUAAUGAUAUACCCCUAUAAACCAACAAAUUGAAUCAUUGCACAUUUGAUCCCCCUGUUGUUUUCUGUUUCACGAAGGUGCCACAGACCCGAUGACUUGGACUUGGAAUAAUUAAAAAAAGGCCAAAAAAAAAAAAAAUGUUCCUGUUGGUCAUGUUAAAGGCACAGAUUCCCCUUCUCCUCCAAUUCUCUCAUUCAUUGUCCUUUCGCACAAUUGCACAUGGGAAUGGGAGUGCAGAAGCCAAGGAGUAAGCGUGUCAGCUGUGCCUUGCCACUUGGGACUUUUUUGUUUAGGGAAGAUACGAAUUACUGUUUACAAGUGCAUUACUUUUACUUAUCAUCGAUUCUUGUGGGAAAUGUAUUUCCUCUUCUGUCGUCCGGCGAACGCGAUUCGAGUGAAAUAAAAUUAAAUUGAUUUACAUAAAAAAAUUAAAAGAAAAGCGGAUAGUGAAUGAUAUAUAACAUAACAACAAAAGGAAUAGCUUAAUAUAUACUGAUAAUAAUCAUAAGUCUCCAAAAUAACAAACAUAAAUCAAAUCAUAUCAUCACAUCUCCGUGAGCUACAAAGCAUAACUGAUAACUCUCUCUCAUUAUAAAAUUUAUAUGUAAUAAGACUCACUCCCUAAAAGACUAAAAACCCAGUGGAUCCGCCGCUACUAAGCCCACAUAACGUCUAAACAACGCAAAAAAAGAAAAAAAAAUGAAGAAACCACUCUACACACCCAAUAAGCUAGUGACACGUAAUCAGAUAGAGAACCGGCCUCUUAAACCCUGAGAACUGAGCCGAACACCAGAGCGGAAAGGAGAGCGACACCAGCGGCGGCUAAGGAAGGCGAGAUCGAGCCGGCUCCGGAAGCGGGAGCUGGAGCGGGAGAGAGAUCUUGAGCCGACCCUGCGAGAACCAAGGCGGCCAGGACAACGGCCAUCAUCAGCGUAGCCAUUGAAGCCUUUGAGAAUGCCAUUAUUGAAGCCUUUUUUUCUCAGGGUUUUUGAGAGCGUAACCGAAGGAAGCUGAGAGAGAUUCUUUUUCCUGUGUCUGUAUGUGGGAAGUGUUAGUAUUUAAGACAUGAGAAGAAAAUAGUGAGGUUUAUUUAUAGACUGAAAAGUGUGGACGGGAAGAGAGAAUUUCGGGCAGCGGCCCGGAUUUUUCCAGUCUGUCUAUUGGUUUCUUGACAGCUAUGUUUAUUUGUGGGGCCCAGUUAAUUAUAAUUUCACGCGACCGUUUAGGGUAUCGAACGGCGAAGCGACGUCGUGUCGGUUCACGAGUGUGACUUACGCCGAGGAAAUAAUUGAUUCUUUGGGAUUGGGAAAAAUUUGAGCAAAGUAAAAUUACGGAAACAGCAGCGAAUUAUAAUAUCGCAGUCUGUGAUAAACUUGAUAACUAUCUACUUGAAUUGAUAGGACAUAUAAAAAGAACAUUGUAUUAUUUAAAGGAUUGAAUAAUUUAAUUGAUAAAAAUCUCUUACCGCUAAGUUUGGAGAUCCAUUUGCACUCAAAUUUGGUGGAGGAAAAUUUUGAUUUCAGUUGUGUUAUGUUAUUAACAAAAAUUAUUGUUCAAAAAAUGCCUUUUUGUAGCUGCAAUAAAUGAGAAAAUUUUAAAGUACUUUUUUUUUAUUAUUUAUAUAAAUUGAACGAAAUCUUGGUGUGAUUAUUUUGUAAAUUCUCGAGAACUUUU
rnacentral:lncRNA from 1 species